CAGUUAUAGCCUGCUUUGAUCCAACGGAAAAGAAUUCCGUGAUGACUUCAAGAGGCAUGCCUUUGGUUUCUGGAACUUUUAAAAACACAAACACAAAUGAUGCAAGGCACACGGUUCCAAACAUCCCAAAGACACCGGCAAGACCUACGGUUUUGAGCAACACCGGUAGUGAAUAUGCGACAAUGAUGUUAGAAAUCCAGUAAACAAGGGAAACUAUGGCAAUGCAGGUGCCACGAACUCGUGUUGGGAAGAUCUCCGCACAGAGAAUGCUGGGAAUAGGCCCGAACCCCAUGGCGUAUACACAGCAGGAGAGCACGACGCUAACAGUUGAGAUUGCUGAACGAACAACACUCCCCAUUUUCACAAUGCUUCCUAUGACUAAGAUGAAAAGACAUAAUGCCAGGAGCGGGACUGUGAUGAGUAGUAACCUCCUGCAGAAAGAGGGAACAAGGAACCAUAGUAAAAAUAUGAGAAGAGAUCAAACAACAGAGGGAAACAUUCUGAGCCAGCAGAUAUCUCGUGUUUUAGGGUAAGGCUUUGUUGUCAUUCAAACGGAAGCAAAAAGAAAAAUAAAAAACUACCUUCUACCAGCAACAUCCACAAACCGCAUGGCAACGGUUAUACUAGGAAGCAUAAAAAAAGUCGUAAUGCAGCUGAUAAGCAGUGAUGCAGAAGAUGAACUGAGGCCAGUGUUUGAAAGAAGGCCUCUAACUCCUGCCAGCUCAAGAAUUUCGGGAAUGUAGUACAAAAUGCUGCUCAUACCAGAGAACUGCAUAUUAAAAAGAAAAGAGGAGGAGGAUCUUCAAUGAGCAAGUGGUUCCAAAGAAGGAAAAUAUUUUUGCUACAAUACGUAUACGUUGACAGUAAUGCAUCAAACUCCACUUCAAGCUUCAGCUGGAUGAACUAUAGCGGGUCCAACCGGAUGCUGCUUCAUAAGCUCCUUGGAAUAAAGAGCUGGAUGACUCACCAAAGCAGCAGCUGGGACAUAGUCAUAGCCUGCAAGGACAUCGGCACGAGACGGAGAAACUAUUGACCUCUGCCUCAAUCCAGGUACACUCUCUUCAUGCAUAUAGAUUCUUUGAAAU